rnacentral:rRNA from 1 species
GGGGCGCAGCAGGCGAGAAACCUUAGCAAUGUGCGAAAGCACGACUGGGUCAGUCCGAGUGAUUCCUGAUAAAGGAGUCUUUUGCCUGUCCUAAAAGCACAGGUGAAUAAGGGGUGGGCAAGUCUGGUGUCAGCCGCCGCGGUAAUACCAGCACCUCGAGUGGUCAGGACGUUUAUUGGGCCUAAAGCAUCCGUAGCCGGCUCUGCAAGUCUUCGGUUAAAUCCACCUGCUCAACAGAUGGGCCGCUGGAGAUACUACAGAGCUAGGGAGUGGGAGAGGCAGACGGUAUUCAGUGGGUAGGGGUAAAAUCCUCUGAUCCAUUGAGGACCACCAGUGGCGAAGGCGGUCUGCCAGAACACGUUCGACGGUGAGGGAUGAAAGCUGGGGGAGCAAACCGGAUUAGAUACCCGGGUAGUCCCAGCUGUAAACGAUGCAAACUCGGUGAUGCAUUGGCUUAUGGCCAAUGCAGUGCCGCAGGGAAGCCGUUAAGUUUGCCGCCUGGAAG